rnacentral:rRNA from 1 species
GUGCCAGCAGCCGCGGUAAUACGGAAGGUCCGGGCGUUAUCCGGAUUUAUUGGGUUUAAAGGGAGCGCAGGCUGGCUGUUAACGUGCCGUGAAAUGUACCGGCUCAACCGGUGACUUGCGGCGCGAACUGGCGGUCUUGAGUGCGUGCGAGGAUGGCGGAAUUCGUGGUGUAGCGGUGAAAUGCUUAGAUAUCACGAAGAACUCCGAUUGCGAAGGCAGCUGUCCAGUCCGUAACUGACGCUAAUGCUCGAAGGUGCGGGUAUCGAACAGGAUUAGAUACCCUGGUAGUCCGCACGGUAAACGAUGGAUGCCCGCUGUCGGCGAUAUACAGUCGGUGGCUAAGCGAAAGCGUUAAGCAUCCCACCUGGGGAGUACGCCGGCAACGGUGAAACUCAAAGGAAUUGACGGGGGCCCGCACAAGCGGAGGAACAUGUGGUUUAAUUCGAUGAUACACGAGGAACCUUACCCGGGCUUGAACUGCAGCAGAACGAUCCAGAGAUGGUGAGGCCCUUCGGGGCUGCUGUGGAGGUGCUGCAUGGUUGUCGUCAGCUCGUGCCGUGAGGUGUCGGCUUAAGUGCCAUAACGAGCGCAACCCUUUUCAUCAGUUGCCAUCAGGCGAUGCUGGGCACUCUGGUGAUACUGCCACCGUAAGGUGUGAAGGAAGGUGGGGAUGACGUCAAAUCAGCACGGCCCUUACGUCCGGGGCUACACACGUGUUACAAUGGGUGGUACAGAGAGUAGGGUGUACGCAAGUGCUCUCCAAUCAUGAAAGCCAUCCUCAGUUCGGAUUGGGUCUGCAACCCGACCCCAUGAGGCUGGAUUCGCCAGUAAUCGCGCAUCAGCCAUGGCGCGGUGAAUACGUUCCCGGGCCUUGUACACACCGCCCGU